rnacentral:rRNA from 1 species
GAUGAACGCUGGCGGCGUGCCUAAUACAUGCAAGUCGAGCGAACAGACGAGGAUCUUGCUCCUCUGACUUUAUCGGCGGACGGGUUAUUAACACGUGGAUAACCUACCUAUAAGACUGGGAUAACUUCGGGAAACCGGAGCUAAUACCGGAUAAUAUAUUGAACCGCAUUGUUCAAUAGUGAAAGACGGUUUUGCUUUCACUUAUAGAUGGAUCCGCGCCGCAUUAGCUAGUUGUUAAGGUAACGGCUUAACAAGGCAACGAUGCGUAGCCGACCUGAGAGGGUGAUCCGCCACCCUGGCACUGAGAAACGGUCCAGACUCCUACGGGAGGCAGCAGUCGGGAAUCUUCCGCAAUGCGCGAAAGCCUGACGGAGCAACGCCGCGUGAGUGAUGAAGGUCUUCGGAUCGUAAAACUCUGUUAUUAGGGAAGAAGAAAUGUGUAAGUACCUAUGAACGUAUUGACGGUACCUAAUCAGAAAGCCACGGCUAACUACGUG